GAAGAAGGUUGUAGCAGCUUCUGCUUGAGGUAUUACAAGGUUGUUUUGGAUGAAGCCUUCUCUUUUUAGGAAAACUUUUACGAGAACAUUACUCUCAAGGGGUGUCAUUACAUUGAAUGCUUUAGUUGUUUUUAGUUUAUGAUUAUGGAGUUGCAUUAAAUUUUGAACAAGGAUGAAUGCUUUGUCUUGAAAACUGAUGCUGGAAAUGUGGUAUGCAAUUAACCAUUUAGAAAUUAGACCUUUUCCACAUGUAAAUCUUUCCAUAAUAUGCUAUUUGAACAGAUUUGCAAAUUGCGCGAGGGUUUGGGCAUAGCAACCAAUAAUGCUGCUGAAUAUCGUGCCAUAAUUUUAAGGUUGAAACAUGUUGCCUAUUCAAAGUAAUUUUAGCAAACAAGUUGCCUAUUCUAAAGCUUUUCCGUUUACAUUGGUUGUCUUAGGUUACAGACUUGAUGGCUUCUUCGUUCUCUAUGACUUUCAAAUGGUUGCUUUUUACAAAAUGUUGAUUGGAGAGAAAGGUUGGCUCUGCAAUCUAUCAAAAACCUUUUCACUAAGGAGGUUGUUGAUGUUGUAACUACAAGCACGACUGAUUUGGGGCCACUAAAUCUUGAUUCCUUUAGAAAAGGCAAUUUGUCUGCGUCAUGGAAAGUUGUUGGGGGUAGAGACUUCGGUUCAGGAUAAUGCUAUUUCAAAGUCAAACCAAAAGGCUACAGACUUGAAACAAGAAACAUCUCAGGAUAAAGAGGAAAAGUUUCUAGAUGAUGAUCAUUCACAUGAUACACCUGCUAAAAUACUUCGAAGGCAACUUAGAGAUAAUAGACGUGAGAAGCGGGCCACUGAAUUGGUGAAACAAGAUGAGAAAGUUACCGUGAAACUUGAAAAUGCUGCCAUUGAACAAUCCAAAGCUGUAGACUCUGCUGUUUUGGGCAAAUACAAUCUAUUUUGUACUUUAUAUAAUUGCUUUUUGAUUUGUUGUCUUGCAUGAAGUGAUCUACUACACCUUCAAUGGAGAGAAUAUUUGCUUUUUGAUUAAAUUGUAAAGUUUGGAUAUUGACUAAUUUUAAUUUAUCAAAUUAUAUCA